GGCGCCUGUUUGCGCCUACCCUGUGACACAAGGCGGCCACCUCCCUUUUGACCGCAGCAUUCACGAAACUCUUGCCGGCAUGAAAAAAUUAAUGGGAACCAUAUUCCAACCAUAGCAAACGGCGGAUCGGAAGAGCGUAGUG